rnacentral:rRNA from 1 species
UACAGAGGGGGCAAGCGUUAUUCGGAAUUAUUGGGCGUAAAGUGCGCGUAGUCGGCCUGGCAAGUGGAAGGUGAAAUCCCUCGGCUUAACCGAGGAACUGCCCUCCAAACUGCUUGGCUUGAGUCCGGGAGAGGUGAGUGGAAUUCCCAGUGUAGCGGUGAAAUGCGUAGAUAUUGGGAAGAACACCAGUGGCGAAGGCGGCUCACUGGCUCGUAACUGACGCUCAGGCGCGACAGCGUGGGGAUCAAACAGG